UACACUCCUACGGGAGGCAGCAGUGGGGAAUAUUGGACAAUGGGCGCAAGCCUGAUCCAGCCAUGCCGCGUGAGUGAUGAAGGCCCUAGGGUUGUAAAGCUCUUUCACCGGUGAAGAUAAUGACGGUAACCGGAGAAGAAGCCCCGGCUAACUUCGUGCCCGCAGCCGCGGUAAUACGAAGGGGGCUAGCGUUGUUCGGAUUUACUGGGCGUAAAGCGCACGUAGGCGGACUAUUAAGUCAGGGGUGAAAUCCCGGGGCUCAACCCCGGAACUGCCUUUGAUACUGGUAGUCUUGAGUUCGAGAGAGGUGAGUGGAAUUCCGAGUGUAGAGGUGAAAUUCGUAGAUAUUCGGAGGAACACCAGUGGCGAAGGCGGCUCACUGGCUCGAUACUGACGCUGAGGUGCGAAAGCGUGGGGAGCAAACAGGAUUAGAAACCCGGGUAGUCCCAUG
rnacentral:rRNA from 1 species